rnacentral:misc_RNA from 1 species
AAGUCGUAACAAGGUUUCCGUAGGUGAACCUGCGGAAGGAUCAUUACAUUCAGUAGCCUAGCUACUUGUUUAUACCCUUGUUUUUGCGUACCUAUUGUUUCCUCGGCGGGCUUGCUCGCCGGUUGGGCAAAACUAUAACCUUUUUUAAAUCUUCAAUCAGCGUCUGAAUUAUACAUAAUAAUUACAACUUUCAACAACGGAUCUCUUGGUUCUG